rnacentral:rRNA from 1 species
GAUGAACGCUAGCUACAGGCUUAACACAUGCAAGUCGAGGGGAAACGACAUCGAAAGCUUGCUUUUGAUGGGCGUCGACCGGCGCACGGGUGAGUAACGCGUAUCCAACCUGCCCACCACUUGGGGAUAACCUUGCGAAAGUAAGACUAAUACCCAAUGAGAUCCCACGGAGGCAUCCGAAUGGGAUUAAAGAUUUAUCGGUGAUGGAUGGGGAUGCGUCUGAUUAGCUUGUUGGCGGGGUGACGGCCCACCAAGGCAACGAUCAGUAGGGGUUCUGAGAGGAAGGUCCCCCACAUUGGAACUGAGACACGGUCCAAACUCCUACGGGAGGCAGCAGUGAGGAAUAUUGGUCAAUGGGCGAGAGCCUGAACCAGCCAAGUAGCGUGCAGGAUGACGGCCCUAUGGGUUGUAAACUGCUUUUAUAAGGGAAUAAAGUGGGUCACGUGUGACUUUUUGCAUGUACCUUAUGAAUAAGGACCGGCUAAUUCCGUG